rnacentral:rRNA from 1 species
GCGAACGCUGGCGGCAGGCCUAACCCAUGCAAGUCGAACGAACUCUUCGGAGUUAGUGGCGGACGGGUGAGUAACACGUGGGAACGUGCCUUUUGGUUCGGAAUAACUCAGGGAAACUUGUGCUAAUACCGAAUGUGCCCUUCGGGGGAAAGAUUUAUCGCCAUUAGAGCGGCCCGCGUCUGAUUAGCUAGUUGGUGAGGUAACGGCUCACCAAGGCGACGAUCAGUAGCUGGUCUGAGAGGAUGACCAGCCACACUGGGACUGAGACACGGCCCAGACUCCUACGGGAGGCAGCGGUGGGGAAUCUUGCGCAAUGGGCGAAAGCCUGACGCAGCCAUGCCGCGUGAAUGAUGAAGGUCUUAGGAUUGUAAAAUUCUUUCACCGGGGACGAUAAUGACGGUACCCGGAGAAGAAGCCCCGGCUAACUUCGUG